AGCAGCCGCGGUAAUUCCAGCUCCAAUAGCGUAUAUUAAAGUUGUUGCAGUUAAAAAGCUCGUAGUUGAAUUUCGGGAUCAAUACGUCGGUCGUGCCUCGGUACGUACUGGCGUAAUUGAUUUCUCCCUUCUGACGAACCAUGAUGUCAUUAACUUGGUGUCAUGGGAAAUCAGGACAUGUUACUUUGAAAAAAAUUAGAGUGUUUAAAGCAAGCUAACGCUUGAAUACAUUAGCAUGGAAUAAUGAAAUAGGACGUUCGAUCCCAUUUUGUUGGUUUCUAGGAUUGACGUAAUGAUUAAUAGGGAUAGUUGGGGGGCAUUAGUAUUCAAUUGUCAGAGGUGAAAUUCUUGGAUUUAUUGAAGACUAACUACUGCGAAAGCAUUUUGCCAAGGAUGUUUUUCAUUAAUCAAGAACGAAAGUUAGGGGAUCGAAGACGAUCAGAUACCGUCGUAGUCUUAACCAUAAACUAUGCCGACUAGGGAUCGGAUGAUGUUAAUUUUUUUAAUGACUCAUUCGGCG
rnacentral:rRNA from 1 species